rnacentral:ncRNA from 2 species
GAUUUAUAAAGAAUAGGGGAGAGAACAGGCUCGAAGAACCUAUAGCAACCUAUCCCUCUCAACAAAGAAAAGGUGCUAAAUCCUGCCGAAAUCAUUUGAGGACCUAUAAAUG